rnacentral:tRNA from 1 species
GGGAGGAUUCCCGAGUGGCCAAAGGGGGCAGACUGUAAAUCUGUUGCUAGUAGCUUCGGUGGUCCGAAUCCACCUCCUCCCACCA